rnacentral:rRNA from 1 species
UGGGGAAUUUUGCACAAUGGGGGAAACCCUGAUGCAGCGACGCCGCGUGAUUUAGAAGGCCUUCGGGUUGUAAAAAUCUUUUCUAUGGGAAGAAAAUGACAGUACCAUAGGAAUAAGGACCGGCUAAUUACGUGCCAGCAGCCGCGGUAAUACGUAAGGUCCGAGCGUUGUCCGGAAUCAUUGGGCGUAAAGGGUACGUAGGCGGGUAAGCAAGUUAGAAGUGAAAUCCUGUAGCUCAACUACAGUAAGCUUUUAAAACUGCUCAUCUUGAGAUAUGGAAGGGAAAGUGGAAUUCCUAGUGUAGCGGUGAAAUGCGCAGCUAUUAGGAGGAAUACCGGUGGCGAAGGCGACUUUCUGGCCAUAAUCUGACGCUGAGGUACGAAAGCGUGGGUAGCAAACAGG